GGCUGAGGAGGCUGGCAUAUUGCAACUUCUCCAUCACACCUGAGGAUGCAGGAAAACUCCCCUAGUCUCAAAGUAAAAGAAAUGUUUUAGAACAAAACCACGGAAAUAGACCUCUCCCCAGGGCUGGAAGUCAGGGCUUGUGAUAACGUAUUUACAUCUUUUGAAAUAACGGAAUCUAGUACAAAUACAUGUUUCCUUCUACCAUUUUACAGAAUUGUCUUAUACCUCUUUUUCUAGUAGGUAAAUAUACAUAAAAGGGAGUCCUUUGGAGAACUGUUGAGACGGAUUUGCUGAUUGUCUUGCAUUAGGGAGCUAGGCUGAGGGGAAAAGAGGGGACUAAAUUUGAAUCUGCACUUCACUCACCCAGGAGUGAUCCCACAGAGCUGUGUCUGCCUAGAAGGGGCGACUUUAUCUAUAUCACCAAAGCAUCAUAAAAGAAAUGAAUGGCAGUAUCAUCAGAACAACCACCCAUAUGUUUUCCCAAAGCAAGACAUUGUGAGGUGUUAAGAGAUAUAUGCAGUAACAGAACUUCAGAAUGUUAGAGCCAUCUGGAAUAAAGACCGUAUUUCUCAGCCUCCCUUGCAGUAUGGAGAUGUUGCUGGACAAUGGCUGCCCCUUCAAGGACUAUUAUUUCCCAGCCUCUCCCCCUUGCAUCCAGGUAGACCCUGUUACCGAUGCAUGUCUACGUUACCUCUAGGAGACAGGUGGCUGACCCAUGCAUUGUACUGUAUGUCCACGGGCUUUCCAGGUUAAUUCUGCAUACGGGACAUAAUAAAAAGGCGCUUUUAGAGAGAGAGCUGGGCACUCUGUGGAGUUUCUUUAUAUGACCUGAGGCCUUACUCUAGUGGCACAGUUAAUACUGGUGAGAAUCACAAUAGACUAUAUUUGCAUUCAUCCUGGGGACAGCUUUGAAUUCACCCACACAUUGUAAUAAGUAGAACGUUUGCCCACAGAUUUCACAUUGCUCUAGUGUCUUAAUGAUCUUCCCCCAGUGCCUGUGAUAGACUUAAACAUAAUAGAAGCCAAUUUUGACUCGAAUUCAAUGUUCUCUGUAGGAGAGGAUGACUGAAGUUUAAUUAUAAUUCCUUUAUACCAAAUGUGUAUGCAUUCUCCAGCAUUUGAUGGGAUUCCUCCAAAAUUUCCAUCUCAAAAUCAGCCCAUCAGUAGAACAGUCACAUGCUGCCCAGUUAAUUAUAAUGGAAUGUGAUGGUUUGGGGCUGUAUUCCAAACAGAGCACCAUGACAUCUAUGCAAACAAGCUUCUGAAAAGCUAAUAAGACAAGGGUCUUUGUGCUAUUUCAAAUGUUUUUAUUUUGUUUUGUUUUUUCUCCUUAUGUAAAUAUGCCAAAGAUGGACUAACAAAAAAUGUUGGUUAUGUAGUUUUUUGUUACAUAUGUAGGCCAUUUCAUUUCCCCUCAUCUUCUCUGUUUCCUAUGUACAGCUAGGAAUAAAACUCACAGUUCUUCCAAGACUCAGAAGUUUAAGACAUAUUCUAGCACAUGGUGGAUUUAAAACAUAUUCACUGUUACUUUUGAAAAUUACAUUUUCCCAAUAUAAGUACCUUUUAGAAGAGUGCAUAAUGGACUUUGUAGUAAAGGCAAUAAUCAGUCUUUAUGUUUAUUUUGUGUCUCCUAAAUCACAGACCUGAAUAAAAGAUGCUACAUAGAAAACUGUAUUUCAUAAAUUAAAUUGAUACUUUGUGGAUUACUAUGUAUGUUUAACAUACAUGUAUGUGGAAGGGGAUGGUUGAAGGUGUAUUCCCCAAAUAAUACAACAGAGGGACUUUAACAGAGAAGGCAGGAGAAGUAUCAAUCUGAAU
rnacentral:lncRNA from 10 species